CGCUUAGUGUCAUUACCCUGUCUGCUAGCUGGGCAGGGUAACUCCUCAGGUCACCACCCUCUCCAGGCUGCCUUGGGCUUGGAGACUGAGGAGGAGGGGAGAGAGAGCUGGUGACCCUGAACAUCCGCCAUCCAUCGCUCCAUCACCUAGCCUAAGAUGGCCAGGCUCCUGAGGAUGUUCAGGAAGAAGGCUCUGCAAAUGGCCCCAGAGCCUGAGGGAAGCAGCAGCAAUCUUAUCCAGGAGCAGAGCUGUCCCUCCAUCCCUGCUGGUGGGGAAGGAGCUCCCGGCCAGGCCAGGAGGUGGAAGCGCCCAGCCUUCUGGCAGAGGAAACCCGAUCCCGGCGCAGGUGCCAAGGUGGGAGAGGCACCAGCCAGGCCAAAAUGGAGCUGGCCCAGGAUGUGGCUGGGCAGGCAGGACCCAGCCUAGGAGGGGUGCCGGGCAGGAUGGCUCUGGGGCUUGUUGUGCAGGAAGCACCGGCCCCAGGAGCCCAGCCCUGAUUCCCAGCAGGAGGCAACACCUUUCCCGGUCACCGAGGACCUUCCAGCCUCCCCAGGGCAGGAGGUGGAGGAUCUCUGUCCCAGCACCAGCAGCUUGGCCCGAUCCCUGUGGGACAGCAGCAGCGCCUGGGACACAGGCAGCAGUGAGGCCGAUGGGUGCCGCUGCUUUGUUCCAGGGCUGACCAUCUAUGAGGCAGAAGACCUGUGGUGUUGGGACUGGCACCAGGACAGCAGGCUCCUGGGCUAAAGGAACACAUUCAGGGUGGGGGAGGUCUUUGGAAAUUUCUUCUCAGAGGGGCAGAGAAGAUUCUUCAUCUGCACCGCAGUGCUGGCCAUCCAUGGCUCCCUGCUCCGUGUCAGCCUGGCUGGGCUGCUCCUCGCUUACUCCCUCCUGGGGGAAGCCCAGCAGCUGAUGGGG